rnacentral:misc_RNA from 1 species
GCCCAUGACAACACAGUGUGUCCCUGAUGCCAAUAGUGCCAGGCAGCUUGUCUCAGUGCUCGUGUGUCUCACUGAUGCUUAGCCCAAGUACUCCACAAUGUCCAGAUGGAUAGAGUGGGCGGCGUGUGUGGUCCUGGUGACGUCUGUGAGGAGGGUGGGAGGAGCGACGCCUCCCUCCCGAAGGUUCUUCAUCGGUGGCGUCCUACACGAUAACCAAACACAAGACCACUUCACCAGGGCGCUCAGGAUGAUCAACUUCGACGGAGUAUCAGUGGCAGAGCAGACUACGCUGUAUGACGUGACAACAGUGUUGCAUGGCAGCCCCAUCACAGCCUCCUUACAGCUCUGCCAGAUGCUAAUCUCCCAGGCUGUGUACACUGUGGUGGUGGCCAGUCCCCCUGGAGGGUCGGUGACAACGGCGGCUGUGUCGUACACGUGCGGGUUCUACCACAUCCCCGUCAUCUGCACACACUCCAGGGACUCAUCCUUCUCCAACAAGAACAUCCACGUAUCACUACUGCGGACGGUGCCGCCCUACAACCACCAGGCGGACGUGUGGGUUACCCUCCUGAAGCACCUGCAGUACCAACAGGUCAUCCUCCUCCACUCCUCCGACACCGACGGCCGCGCCCUCUACAGGCGCUUCCAGAGUCUAGCACAACACCGUGACGACGACAUGGGUAUCAAGCUGGUGUCAGUGAUUGAGUUCACCACCGGGGAGGACUCCUUCGUGGUGGAGUUAGCUGCCAUCCGCGAGGAACUGGUAAAGGUCAUCCUGCUGUAUGCCAAUGAGAGGGACGCUGAUAGAAUCUUCCAUGACGCCGCCUAUCUCAACAUGAUGGAGGACGGUUAUGUGUGGCUGGUGACCGAGCAGGCCCUCCACUCACAACACGUCCCAGUUGGCGCUCUUGGCCUCCAGCUUAAGUAUGCUGACGACUACGACGCCCAUAUCACCGACAGUCUACGCGUGGUGGCACUGGCGUUACGUCAACUGCACGAGCAGGAGGUGGUCAUCCCGGACCCGCCCAUCACUUGCGAGGCUGAGGGCGGCUGGGACGAAACCGGCAUCCGGCUUUUCAGGCUUAUACAACAGCAGGUGCUCACAGACGGGAAGACGGGAAAGGUGGCCUUCGACGGCCACGGGGACAGGACCCAUGCCGAGUACUCCGUGGUCAACGUCCAGGAUCACCACCAGGAGCACUUCGGCCAAAGGAACCUUCAGCACGUUGGCGAGUUAUUUUAUGAUAAGGUGAGAGGUCAGAUGGUACUGGAGGUAAACAGGAGUAGUAUUGUGUGGCCUGGGGGGUCAUCUACGGCGCCGCCCGGGUACUCCCUCCCUACACACCUCAACGUGAUGACUCUCCUGGAGACGCCCUUCGUGUAUGCCGCUGCCAUUGACGCUGACGAGGAGUGUGAGGGGAAGGGGAAGGAACUGUGCCCCCUCCUGAACCCCACCACCAGAGAGUGGGAGAGGAUGUGCUGCUGGGGAUACUGUCUGGACCUGCUCUUCACUCUGUCCGAUAAGAACGGCUUCACCUUCAACCUGACGCUCUCUGCUGACGGCAACUACGGCCAGCUUGAGGAGAACCAGGAAGGACAGAAGACUUGGAAUGGGAUGAUUGGUCAGCUGGUGAACGAGAGUGAGGCGUUGGACAUGAUCAUGGCGCCCCUCACCAUCAACCCGGAGCGAUCCCAGGCACUGCACUUCACCAAACCCUUCAAGUACCACGGCAUCACCAUCCUCAUCAAGCGGACCCUUGUGGUGCCUGCCCUGGUGUCCAUCCUACAGCCAUUCCGAGGAACUCUCUGGCUCCUCCUGCUGGUCACCGUCCACAUCAUCGCCUUCUUCAUCUGGCUCCUGGACCGUCUCAGCCCCGUCUACAAGCUUGAUGGGAAGGACACAGAUUCACUCGUAUUGUCGGAGUCCUUCUGGUUCUCGUGGUCUGUCAUCCUCAAUAGCGGCCUGACCGACGGUACUCCGAGGUGUGUGAGUGGCCGGGUGCUGGGUAUCGUGUGGGGAGGCUUCGCUAUGAUCAUCGUGGCAUCCUACACGGCCAACCUUGCAGCCUUCCUCGUACUGGACACUCCCAUCAGUGCCAUCACCGGCAUUAACGACGCCAGGCUGAGGAACCCAGUGGAGAAUUUUACCUUCGCCACGGUGCGGGGAUCUUCGGUGGACAUGUUUUUCAGGCGCAAGACAGAGUGGGCCAACAUGUACCGUGUGAUGGAGGCACAUAACUACCCCACCGUUGACCAGGCUAUCCAUGCCGUGCGCAAUGGAAGCUUGCAGGCGUUCAUCUGGGAGAGUUCCCGACUGGAGUAUGAGGCUUCACGGGACUGUGAGCUGGUUACUGUAGGGGAGCUGUUCGGUCGGUCCGGCUAUGGCAUCGGGCUGCAGAAGGGGUCGCCCUGGGCUGACAAGAUCACCCUCGACAUACUAGAUCUACAUGAACUCCCUCAUGUGUGGUGGUCAUGGGCAGGAGGCUACAUGGAGGUGCUGGACAAGGAGUGGAUCUGGACUGAAGGGUCCGAGUGUUCUGAAGACGACCACCACAGCCUGGACUUCUCCAAGCGCCUGGGGCUGAAGAACCUGGAGGGCAUCUUCAUCAUGGUCGCUGGCGGUAUUUUAAGUGGCACCUUCCUCAUCCUCGUCGAGAUCAUCUACGAUCGCUGGAGGAACCCCACGCAGGGCAGAGGAGGAGGAGGGAGUGACGACAGCCAUCUGCAGCAGCAAGAUGAUGUUUUCAUCAAACUCUUUGAUUAAUGCUGAAGUGAUGACUAAUAACGAGGUGUCACUGUUGCCAGAGAACAGCCACAACACAAGCAGAGGUUUAUCCAUCAGAGGAGGAGUGUUGCCAUGCUGGGGCCCUCGACUCUCCAGAUAACAGUGGCAAAAACUUAUCUGCCAAUGUCUGCAGUUACACGACCCACAGAGCGGAGCAUGAGCAGU